CUCAUUAUCAUUUUGCAACUCUCUCUCUCUCUCUCUCUCUCUCUCUCUAUCUUUCUGUGACUCUCUCCGAACAACUUUAGUGCAUAUUUUUUGAAGAGUACUAUGCUCCGGAUUUCUAGUUUUUUGUUUUUUGUUAAUUGUUGUUUAUCAAAUUGAUUGGGAUCAAGAGUGACAGAGCAAUAGACAAGAAGAGCGGCCAGCUUAGCUUGGGGCUAUAAAAAUUCAAGAUCCUGCAUAGUUUAAUGGAUCAAACAGAUUAUCAGAGGAUCGAGAAAGAAGAAGAAGUCUUCUAUUCUGAAGACCAACAACAGCUAGGGAUGACCAUUUCUGAGGUUGCUUUAGAGACCAGCUGCAGUCCUGACAAUAUCAAUAAGACAACCAUUUCGAUUGGCCACCAUGUCUUCCUCAGGCGUCUUGCUAAAGCCACGCUGCUUCUGUUUGGGGGAAUAGCAGUCUUGAGCCUGAUUCUUCAUAACUCCAACUCAACCUUUAGAUUUCUUCCCACCAGUUCUUUUUACCGUUCUGGGUCCCCAUCAACGGAAAAUUAUUGCAGUUGGGUGUUGGAUAGAGUUCUGAGAAAUGCAUCCAUGGAGGAUGGAACAGUGAUCUUGACUACUUUGAAUGAGGCAUGGGCAGAACCAAAUUCUAUGUUUGAUAUAUUUUUGGAGAGUUUUCGCAUUGGAAAUGGAACACAGAGGCUUUUGAAUCAUUUGGUAAUAAUAUGCAUGGACCAAAAGGCAUAUGCUCGUUGCUUAGCUCUAAACUUCCAUUGCUAUCAUCCUGAUACUAAAGGAGUCAAUUAUACGAGUGAGGCUGUCUUCUUGACCAAUACUUACUUAGAGAUGAUGUGGGCAAGGAUUGAUCUUUUCGCUUCUAUCCUUGAGAUGGGAUACAACUUUGUAUUCACGGAUACCGAUAUUAUGUGGCUUCGAGAUCCAUUUCAACAUUUCUAUUCAGAAGCGGAUUUCCAAAUUGCUUGUGAUCAAUUCUAUGGUAACUCUUAUGAUGUAAACAACCGUCCAAAUGGCGGAUUUAACUUUGUAAAAUCGAAUAAUCGGACAAUUCAAUUUUACAAGUUCUGGUACACAAGCAGAGAGGCAUAUCCGGGCAAGCAUGACCAAGAUGUACUUAACAUGAUCAAAGGUGAUCCAUUCAUCACCAACAUUGGACUGAAAAUGAGGUUUCUUGAUACUGCCUACUUCGGCGGCUUUUGCGAACCGAGCCGAGAUCUUAACAGAGUGUGCACAAUGCAUGCAAAUUGUUGCAUUGGUCUCGAGAACAAAGUUCAUGACCUUAGAAUUUUGCUCGACGAUUGGAAAAAAUACAUGUCAUUGCUCCCAAAUAUGACAGCUUCACCACCAUCCUCAUGGAGUGUUCCACAAGCUUGCAGGGCAUCAUUUAAUCAUUUGCCAAAGAACAAAACUCCAGGACUUGGGAACAGAUAACAUAUAUGCCAAUAUAUGCAUUUGCAUAUUUUUCAGGGUUUUUCAGAUCAAAUAAAUAGAGGUUGCAUGCAUUGGACCGUUACAACGUACGUGGGUUAAUGCAUGCUGGUUGGUAAAUCUGUAUGCACUAUGCAAAUUAGUUUUGUAAAUCUCGUCCCAAUUAUUUAUCCUUAUCUUUAGUUUUAUAUAUGAGUCCUGUUUUUUUCUUUUUCUUUUAAAGUUCAGAAAAAUAUCGAGGGUCAUGCCUAUUUUUGUGGUUGCUGAUAUUUUAAUAUGAGAGUUAAUAUUGCUACGUAUAUCUAUAAAGAGAUAUUACAAAAAUAAA